CACCAUUUCCAAUCUGCAACCAAGCAAUCGCCGUCAACACAAGCGCGCGGCCCACCACGACUCACGUCGCAUCUGCUCCUGCUCCCCAAAAGCACUUCUGGCUCGCGAAAACCGGUGAUCGCCGGCGAUGAGCUCCCGGAUGGCCGGAUCCAUCCUCCUCCGCCACGCCGGCAAGCGCCUCUUCGCCGCGGCGGCGGCCUCUCCCACGGCGGCCGCGAGGCCCUCACUGCUCGCUGGCGCCGACGGCGUCCCGGCGGUUAUGGUGCGGCUCAUGUCCACGUCGUCCUCCCCCGCCGCGGCCGCGGCAGCAACGCCGCCGCAGAAGGCGAAGGAGGAGGCGGCCAAGGACGGAGGGGACAAGAAGGCCGUGGUGAUCAACAGCUACUGGGGCAUCGAGCAGACGAACAAGCUGAUGCGGGAGGACGGCACCGAGUGGAAGUGGACUUGCUUUAGGCCAUGGGAGACGUAUACGGCGGACACGUCCAUCGAUCUGACCAGGCACCACGAGCCCAAGACGAUGCUCGACAAGAUCGCUUACUGGACCGUCAAGUCGCUGCGCUUCCCCACCGACGUCUUCUUCCAGAGGCGAUAUGGCUGCCGGGCCAUGAUGCUGGAGACCGUGGCAGCGGUGCCGGGGAUGGUGGGCGGCAUGCUGCUCCACCUGCGCUCUCUCCGCCGCUUCGAGCAGAGCGGCGGCUGGAUCCGCGCGCUGCUUGAAGAGGCCGAGAACGAGCGCAUGCACCUCAUGACUUUCAUGGAGGUGGCGAAGCCGAGGUGGUACGAGCGCGCGCUGGUGAUCGCCGUCCAGGGCGUCUUCUUCAACGCCUACUUCCUGGGCUACCUCCUCUCCCCCAAGUUCGCGCACGCAUCCACUCGUACACCGAGUACCUCAAGGACCUGGAGGUCGGCAAGAUCGACAACGUCCCCGCCCCGGCCAUCGCCAUCGACUACUGGCGCCUCCCCGCCAACGCUACGCUCAAGGACGUCGUCACCGUGGUGCGCGCCGACGAGGCUCACCACCGUGACGUCAACCACUUCGCAUCGGACAUCCAUUGCCAGGGCAUGCAGCUGAAGGAGUCCCCUGCGCCCAUCGGAUACCACUGAGGCUGAUUGCGCUCUGCUGAAUUUUGCAUCGCUAAUAAGAAAAUGAGUGUUCUGUUUUUAUUGGAAAGCAUGCCUAUGAGUAAUGAGUUGAGUUAUUCUACUACAAUAUUUUCGAACCAUUUCGAUGAGAGUAAAACCUAUUUUAUGUACAUAUCUGAAGCCUGACAGGUGCUUUUCUGGCGUUUUCACCUGAAGUUCCUCUGUUCUACAUGUUAACUGAAUUGCGAUCUCUGUUCUGGUAUGAACAAUUUCUGCAUCAGAAACUCAGCUGAACUUCCUCUGUUCUUCAUGUCAUCUGAAUUUUUGUCUGUGAUGUAGAACAGUAGAACGCACACAGCGCAUCUUGGUUUGCAGAUGUUUGAGUGUGCUAUUUGAUUGCGUUUUCUGUUGCUUAUACUUGGGCUUUUGAGGAGUACUUUGGAUGGCUGAUAAUGGCGCUUGAUUGCUGCCGUUUGUCGGUCCCAAAUGGCAGCUAGCUAGUUACCAGUGCAGGGCACCAUCGCAUCAGAGUCCCAGAACCCUUCGCCCAAUCUAGCACAAGUGCUUCCCUCGUUUCUCCACCGCCCGCCGCCAUGUCUACCUUUCACCUGCAGCACCCGGCGGUCACUCUCCAGCCGAGCGCCCUACGCGCCCGCAUCAUCCCGCCAUCCAGACUUGCAAAACUACCACACCGCCGCUUCUCUCCACCAACUCCACUCCUCGGCGCGGAGAGCAGAUUCGCCCUAGCCCCCCGCGCGUCCGCCAGCGGAAGCCCGGGCCCCGACACGCAGGGCGAGCCCGGGCCGAAGGCUGGAUUCUGGACUAAAUGGAUGAGCGCGGAGGCGAGGGCCAGAGUGGCCAAGCUCGGCCUGGCCGCCGUGCUGGCCUACGGGCUGUUCGACGCCGUUACCUACACCACCUUCUUCGUGCUCGCGUUCCUCGGCUACGAGAAGAGCACCGGCAAGAACCCUGCGGCCAAUCUCAAGGCUCUGCUUGGUAUUGUUAUCCUAAUGUGGACUGGUAACAAUGUUACAAGGCCAUUCCGAGUCGCUGGUGCAGCUGCUUUGGCCCCGGUGAUUGACAAGGGCUUGAAGGGUAUUCAGGAGAAACUUAACCUUCCAACCCAGAUGUAUGCCUUUGCACUUGUGUUUGGAUCCGUGGCCACGGUAUGCUUCACAGUCGUUGGUAUCUUGGUCCUCUCAAAGUGGGGAAAGUAAAGAGUUGCCUCUCAUGCAUAUCCACAGUUUUGUUUUGUUUCAAUCUUCUGUUUCCACACUCUUUUCAACAGAUCCGAGUUUUGUACAAUUAGUAUGACACUGGCAUGAUGUACUAAUUCAGUUAUCCAUGGAUAAUUUCUUUCUCACUUAGAUAAGUAAUUAAAAUAAAUUUAGUUUUGAAUUUUUUUCCUUUUUUAUUUCAUGGGUUUGUAACACUUGGGAGUCUCAAUAUUUCUGGUACAUAGGAUAGGAGUCAGGACCUUUAGGGGUUUUCCAGUGUUGUAAAUGCUGAAUAUAGUUUUGACCAGGCAACAAGAGAGAUGUUUGGAUAA